rnacentral:rRNA from 1 species
UACGGGGGAUGCAAGCGUUAUCCGGAAUUAUUGGGCGUAAAGCGUCCGUAGGCGGCUAGAUAAGUUUGUUGUUAAAGCGUGCGGCUUAACCGCAUAUCAGCAAUGAAAACUAUUUAGCUAGAGUGUGGUAGGGGUAGAGGGAAUUCCCGGUGUAGCGGUGAAAUGCGUAGAUAUCGGGAAGAACACCAGUGGCGAAAGCGCUCUGCUGGGCCACAACUGACGCUGAUGGACGAAAGCUAGGGGAGCGAAAGGG